AUCUAGCUGACGAGUCCCAAUUAUGACGAAAGGAGCGUCCUGGAU
rnacentral:hammerhead_ribozyme from 1 species